GGUGAAAUGAGGUGAAACACUUUCUCUCAUUUUCUCUAAAGAGGCCGGCCACUUAGAGGGGAAUUAGCUAGCAAUCUUUUCUUCUCUAAGUCAUCCAUUUCAUCUUCACACUUCAUCCUUGGUGUGGAAACUUAGAGACAUCAAGCUUUUGAUGUUUUUGGAGAACUAAUCCUCAAAUCCUCAAGAAGCAAAGGAGCACUAAAAGGAGGAAAAUCACAAGGAAGAUCCAAGGAGCAAGGAGGUGACUUGAAGGCCCUCCACUUGGGUGAAUCCCUUGUGUAAACAAGGAUGAGCUUCAAGGGUAAAGAAACUCUAAAUCUUUCCUUCUCUUUAAUGUUGUUAAAGAGUUUAUUGG
rnacentral:lncRNA from 1 species